CAGCAGCCAAAAGCCCUCCAGGAAGAAGUAUGGAAGCAGCUUUAUUGAGGUUGCCAGCAAGAUUACGGCUUCUUUGACGCAUGAACGUUUUGGAAUUUAUGAGGAUUUUAAUGAGGAUUUUCUGAAAAAAAUAAAAAUUGCUAUGUUCUGGGCAUUCAUCUAUCCUCUCGUCAACUUUUGAUCUAUC
rnacentral:lncRNA from 1 species